rnacentral:rRNA from 1 species
GUAGUUUGAUCCUGGCUCAGAUUGAACGCUGGCGGCAUGCCUUACACAUGCAAGUCGAACGGCAGCACGGGAGCUUGCUCCUGGUGGCGAGUGGCGAACGGGUGAGUAAUGCAUCGGAACGUAUCCUGGAGUGGGGGAUAACGUAGCGAAAGUUACGCUAAUACCGCAUAUUCUGUGAGCAGGAAAGCGGGGGACCUUCGGGCCUCGCGCUCUUGGAGCGGCCGAUGUCGGAUUAGCCUAGUUGGUGAGGUAAAGGCUCACCAAGGCGACGAUCCGUAGCAGGUCUGAGAGGAUGAUCUGCCACACUGGAACUGAGACACGGUCCAGACUCCUACGGGAGGCAGCAGUGGGGAAUUUGGACAAUGGGGCAACCCUGAUCCAGCCAUGCCGCGUGAGUGAAGAAGG